GCAUUCGUGGUGUAACGGUAGCACACUCGGUGCCUUGUCGAGAGGUCCGGGUUCGAAUCCCGGUGAAGGCA
rnacentral:tRNA from 1 species